GAGUAGUUUAAUAUAGAAUUUCAGCUUUGGGUGUUGAUGGUAGAAUUGAAUAUUCUUUCCCUGAUUGUCCUGGGGAGCAGGGAGAUCGAAAGAGCA